ACAUGCAAGUCGAACGAGAUCUUCGGAUCUAGUGGCGCACGGGUGCGUAACGCGUGGGAAUCUGCCCUUGGGUUCGGAAUAACUUCUGGAAACGGAAGCUAAUACCGGAUGAUGACGUAAGUCCAAAGAUUUAUCGCCCAAGGAUGAGCCCGCGUAGGAUUAGCUAGUUGGUGAGGUAAAGGCUCACCAAGGCGACGAUCCUUAGCUGGUCUGAGAGGAUGAUCAGCCACACUGGGACUGAGACACGGCCCAGACUCCUACGGGAGGCAGCAGUAGGGAAUAUUGGACAAUGGGGGAAACCCUGAUCCAGCAAUGCCGCGUGAGUGAUGAAGGCCUUAGGGUUGUAAAGCUCUUUUACCCGGGAUGAUAAUGACAGUACCGGGAGAAUAAGCUCCGGCUAACUCCGUGCCAGCAGCCGCGGUAAUACGGAGGGAGCUAGCGUUGUUCGGAAUUACUGGGCGUAAAGCGCACGUAGGCGGCUAUUCAAGUCAGAGGUGAAAGCCCGGGGCUCAACCCCGGAACUGCCUUUGAAACUAGAUAGCUUGAAUCCAGGAGAGGUGAGUGGAAUUCCGAGUGUAGAGGUGAAAUUCGUAGAUAUUCGGAAGAACACCAGUGGCGAAGGCGGCUCACUGGACUGG
rnacentral:rRNA from 1 species